UACAGAGGUCUCAAGCGUUGUUCGGAUUCAUUGGGCGUAAAGGGUGUGUAGGUGGCGCGCUAAGUCGGGUGUGAAAUUUCGGAGCUUAACUCCGAAACUGCAUUCGAUACUGGCGUGCUUGAGGACUGGAGAGGAGACUGGAAUUUACGGUGUAGCAGUGAAAUGCGUAGAUAUCGUAAGGAAGACCAGUGGCGAAGGCGGGUCUCUGGACAGUUCCUGACGCUGAGGCACGAAGGCCAGGGGAGCAAACGGG
rnacentral:rRNA from 1 species